GAAGGAAAAGGUAUUCGAUUCUUAAUCUUAGGGGUUGAUUAAUGAUUGAGUAUUAUUCGUUCGUUCUUUAUGAAUUUUUUGUAUCUAUCUAACUUAUCUAGGGCGGA
rnacentral:tRNA from 1 species